UACGUAGGGGGCUAGUGUUGUCCGGAAUCAUUGGGCGUAAAGAGCGUGUAGGCGGCCCGGUAAGUCCGCUGUAAAAGUCAAAGGCUCAACCUUUGAAUGUCAGUGGAUACUGCCGGGCUAGAGUCCGGAAGAGGCGAGUGGAACUCCUGGUGUAGCGGUGGAAUGCGCAGAUAUCAGGAAGAACACCAACGGCGAAGGCAGCUCGCUGGGACGGUACUGACGCUGAGACGCGAAAGCGUGGGGGAGCGAACAGG
rnacentral:rRNA from 1 species